rnacentral:lncRNA from 1 species
AUGGCCAGUGCAGACUGGAAGGACUUGGGCAUGGAGGGAGCCCUCAAGCAGGGGGCCAUCUCAAGCCAGCCAUUGCCCUUAUCAGCUCUGGGAGCUACAGAGAAGCUGGGCAUCGAGAUUGGUAAAGGGCCACCGCCCAUCCCAGGUGUAGGCAAGCCACUGCCGCCAAGUUAUGGGACAUACCCAAGUCCUACACCUCUGGGCCCAGGGUCGACAAGCUCCCUGGAGAGGAGGAAAGAAGGCAGCUUGCCCAGACCUGGUGCAGGCCCAAGUCGGCAAAAACCUGCUCCGCUGCCUCCAGCAGGCAGUGCCCCCCAGCCUGGCUCCUCGCAGCAGAUUCAGCAGAGAAUUUCAGUACCACCAAGUCCCACGUACCCACCGGCAGGGCCACCUGCAUUUCCAGCUGGAGAUGGAAAACCUGAGUUUCCACUGACUGUGGCCAUUAGGCCUUUUCUAGCUGAUAAAGGGUCAAGGCCACAGUCUCCCAGGAAAGGACCCCAGACAGUAAAUUCAAGUUCCAUAUAUUCCAUGUACCUCCAGCAAGCCACACCACCUAAGAAUUACCAGCCGGCAGUGCAUGGCACCCUAAAUAAGUCAGUUAAAGCAGGUAUGUUGAGUAUAUACUCUUGGGAAUGGAAGUUACCCUUAAUUAGAAUCCCUGUCACUACAUGCUACUUAGGGUAAGACAUAACUCUUACAUA